UAGUAUCUUGUUGUUGGAAGAAAAGCCCUUUCUCUCUCUCUCAUUCUUGUGUUUCUUCUCGAUCGAUCUCUCGAUUUCUCUCUGUGCACCAGCAUCAGCUAUGGUGUCCGACGCCAGCAAGAAGAAGGCGGCGCAGAAGAAGGCCGCCGCCGCUGCCAAGAGGGGUGACAAGGCCAAGGCCGCCAUUACUCUCUCCGAGCGCACCUGCACCGCCGUCCUCACCUCCCAUCCCCUCUCCCGCGACAUCCACAUCGAGUCCCUCUCCCUCACAUUCCACGGCCAUGACCUGCUUCUUGACACCGACCUGGAGCUCAACUACGGCAGGCGAUAUGGUUUGCUUGGCUUAAACGGCUGUGGAAAGUCCUGUCUCCUCAAAGCUAUAGGAUGCCGGGAGCUUCCUAUCCCUCCACACAUGGACAUCUAUCAUCUCACCCAUGAGAUCGAGGCUUCCGACAUGUCUGCGCUACAAGCUGUCAUCAGCUGUGACGAACAGAGACUCCAGCUCGAGAAGGAGGCUGAAAUCUUGGCCGCUCAAGAUGACGGUGGCGGCGAAGCCCUGGACCGCGUUUAUGAACGCUUAGAAGCCAUCGACGCAUCCACCGCUGAAAAGCGUGCUGCAGAGAUUUUGUUUGGCUUGGGUUUUAACAAGCACAUGCAGGCAAAGAAAACCUGUGAUUUCUCUGGCGGUUGGCGCAUGAGGAUCGCUUUGGCUAGGGCGCUCUUCAUGAAUCCAACUAUCCUUUUGCUUGAUGAGCCCACCAAUCAUCUAGAUCUUGAGGCCUGUGUCUGGCUGGAGGAAACCUUGAAGAAAUUUGACCGUAUACUUGUCGUCAUAUCACACUCCCAGGACUUCCUAAAUGGAGUAUGUACAAAUAUCAUCCACAUGCAAAACAGGAAGCUCAAGCUAUACACUGGCAACUAUGACCAGUAUGUCCAAACACGAGCCGAGCUUGAAGAAAAUCAAAUGAAACAAUACAGAUGGGAGCAGGACCAGAUUGCCUCGAUGAAGGAGUACAUUGCACGGUUUGGUCACGGAUCUGCCAAGCUGGCCCGACAGGCUCAAAGUAAAGAGAAAACUCUUGCUAAGAUGGAGCGUGGUGGGCUCACGGAGAAGGUUGUAAGGGAUAAGGUAUUGACGUUCCGCUUCACUGAUGUUGGCACGCUACCACCUCCAGUGCUGCAGUUUGUGGAGGUCACAUUUGGGUACACACCAGACAACCUGAUCUACAAGAACCUAGAUUUUGGUGUUGACCUUGACUCAAGGGUGGCGCUGGUUGGUCCUAAUGGGGCUGGGAAGAGUACGCUCCUUAAACUCAUGACAGGUGAUCUCAUACCGCUGGACGGCAUGGUGAGGCGACACAACCAUCUCAGGAUCGCACAAUUCCACCAGCACCUUGCAGAGAAGCUGGACCUGGACAUGUCAGCUCUGCAGUACAUGAUGAAGGAAUACCCAGGGAACGAGGAGGAGAGGAUGAGGGCAGCCAUCGGCAAGUUUGGGUUGUCAGGGAAGGCACAGGUAAUGCCAAUGAGGAACCUGUCGGACGGGCAGAGGAGCAGAGUGAUAUUUGCAUGGUUGGCGUGGAGGGAGCCACACAUGCUGCUGCUGGAUGAGCCAACGAACCAUCUGGACAUUGAAACAAUCGACUCUCUUGCAGAGGCGCUGAAUGAAUGGGAUGGAGGGCUUGUGCUGGUGAGCCAUGACUUCAGGCUGAUCAACCAAGUGGCGCAGGAGAUAUGGGUGUGCGAAAAGCAGGCGGUGACCAGGUGGGAAGGUGACAUCAUGGAGUUCAAGGAGCACCUGAGGAGCAAGGCCGGAGUGGACGAUUGAGUUGAGUUGAGUUGAGUAGUUUUGAUCUUGCUGCCUGGCCCGGAGAGGAGAUACCAUCACUCUGCUAGUUACUAGUAUUUCUUCGGCUGUUACUAAACUAUACUGCCCAGCCUAACGGGGACGACGACUGCAUCAUCAUCUCUUGAUCUCUCUCUCUUAGUUAAGUUGGAUGCUUGUCACGGAUGUUUGUACCUGAUCUCCAUCAACUACAUCUGAUGCUAUAGCCCAUAUGCAGAUGUACCGUCCUCUUCUUGGGGUCUCUGGAGAAUGAGGAAACAGCAAGAUCCAGCCAGCAUAGCAUGUAUGUAUAGUGUAAUUAGCUGGUUUGUUGGCGGUGCACAUGCAUAAGAUAUACUUCCUCCGUUUCAUAUUAUAAUACUAUCUAUUAUUGCCCACAUUCAUAUAUAUGUCUAGAUUCAUUAGCAUCUAUAUGAAUGUGGGCAAUGAUAGAAAGUCUUAUAAUAUGAAACGGAGGGAGUAUUAUCUUGGUUUGCACUUGCAUGAUCACCUGCUGUAGUUAUUAUUAUCAGUGACCAAGUUCCCCUAGCUAGCAGUAGCACUCCAUGAAAAGAUAUCUACAUGAAACUGUACCACCCCCACGAUAUUAUAUAUGAGAUUGGAUUUUAAACUCUUGAGGGGAUGUCUCAUCGUUGCUUGUAUGUUAAAUUGAGAAGAUGUAUUAACAUGUGAUAUAUCUUAUUAUAAGCAUUCAACUUAAAAUUUAA